GAAAGGCUCUCUAAUACCGCAUGAGACCACGGGACCACAUGGUUUUGAGGUCAAAGGAUUUCGGUCCGGACAGGGGUGGGCUCGCGUCUGAUUAGCUGGUUGGUGGGGUAACGGCUCACCAAGGCAACGAUCAGUAGCCGACCUGAGAGGGUGAUCGGCCACAUUGGAACUGAGACACGGUCCAAACUCCUACGGGAGGCAGCAGUGGGGAAUAUUGGGCAAUGGGCGAAAGCCUGACCCAGCAACGCCGCGUGAAGGAAGAAGGCUCUCGGGUCGUAAACUUCUAUCCCGGGUGAAGAUAAUGACGGUAGCCCGGAAGGAAGCCCCGGCUAACUACGUGCCAGCAGCCGCGGUAAUACGUAGGGGGCAAGCGUUGUCCGGAAUGAUUGGGCGUAAAGGGCGCGUAGGCGGCCAUGUAAGUCCGACGUGAAAGUCCUGCUUUUAAGGUGGGAAUUGCGUUGGAAACUGUGUGGCUUGAGUGCAGGAGAGGUAAGUGGAAUUCCCGGUGUAGCGGUGAAAUGCGUAGAGAUCGGGAGGAACACCAGUGGCGAAGGCGACUUACUGGACUGUAACUGACGCUGAGGCGCGAAAGUGUGGGGAGCAAACAGGAUUAGGUACCCUGGUAGUCCACACUGUAAACGAUGAGUGCUAGGUGUAGGAGGUAUCGACCCCUUCUGUGCCGGAGUAAACACAAUAAGCACUCCGCCUGGGGAGUACGGCCGCAAGGUUGAAACUCAAAGGAAUUGACGGGGGCCCGCACAAGCAGCGGAGCAUGUUGUUUAAUUCGAAGCAACGCGAAG
rnacentral:rRNA from 1 species